GCUUCAGCAGCCAAUCGGUGACUGUGGCUGGGUUUUAAUUGAAACAAUUUACUUGUUUAGGUUACACGAACAACCCUAAAUAAAUCCUCUCUCUCUCUCUCUCUCUCUCUCAAAACUAGAAGCCAUUUUCCAAAGUCGCCACUUGCUACCUCAAUCCUAAUUACCAGCAGCCACUGAACAUUUUACUAAGAUGCCAUUUGUAUCCCUUCUCUCUUUUCUUUUCUUUCCUUCUCAAACUAAAUCGCUAUUCUUGGAAGUAACCCUUCUUCGGUGGGGUUUUUGGUUUCAACUUUGUUUGAAAGUUUGAAUAACAAAACCUCUACCUCUUUCUCUGUCAAAUACUCGCCGUUAAUGUGUAAAUCCCUCCCUCAAGUCUGCAAGUAGUUAACCAAUUUGCGUCCUUUCUCUCUUUCAUUCUCCGACUGGAACUGAGGAUAGGUCAUUCACUUGGAAGUAUAUGAUAUUGGAAAUCCAAAUAAAGCUUUGUCAUUCGUUCGUUGACAAGGUUUUCUAGUACCAUUUGAGAUGCAGAUUACUGGUUUCCCUCUCAAGGAUAUAGAGCUUUAACAAACAAUGGUAGUGUGUUUCGUGUAAACCAAAGCAAGAAAAAAAAAACAAAUUUUGAUUUUUUUUACGUCCAUGAGGUCAUUACCGUUUAUAAACUGUGAAAUUUGAAUAACUUUUAAUGCUAACGUGCUCUGGUCUGAGACAUCAUCAGAACAAAAUAGAUGAUUUGCAGAAACCUGAUUUCUUCUACUGCGCCAAGUCGGAAUAUCUUCCUCAACCUAAUCGGCAAGGCCUCCACCAUCAACCAAUUCAACCAAAUCCAUGCACAGGUCAUCCUCAACGGUCUCCAUAACGACCUCAUAACUGUAACCAAGCUCACCCAGAAACUCGCUGACUUUGGCGCUAUCGACCAAGCCCACCUCCUCUUCUCCACCAUUUCAGAGCCCGACCUGUUUUUAUUCAAUGUCCUCAUCAGAGGGUUCUCUCUCAAUAGCUCCUCUUCCUCUGCUAUUUCUCUCUAUUCCCAUCUCCGGCGGAACACCUCCCUCAAGCCCGAUAAUUUCACCUACGCCUUUGCGAUUUCCGCGUCGUCUUCGCUUGGUUCUAAGGAAACUGGCCGGAUCCUUCAUGGUCAUUCCAUCGUUGAUGGGUUUGAAUUCGAUCUGUUUGUGGGUUCUGCUGUUACUGACUUCUAUAUCAAGUUCUCCCAAGUUCAGACGGCGCAAAGAGUAUUUGAUAGGAUCCCUGAUCCGGACACUGUCGCUUGGAACACCUUGAUAUCUGGGUUGGUUCGGAAUUGUUGUUUUGAUGAAUCAAUAGAAGUGUUUGAGAAUAUGUUACUGAGGGGAACCCCAUUUGAUUCGACCACGUUGGCUGCUGUUCUUCCGGCAUAUGCUGAGCUGCAAGAAUUGAAAAUAGGGAUGAAGAUACAGUCUCUGGCAAUGAAGACAGGCUUCCAUUCCCAUGCUCAUGUUCUCACAGGUUUGGUAUCUUUGUAUUCUAAAUGCGGUGAGGUAUCUACUGCGACAUUCCUGUUUGAACAAAUUGGCCAACCAGAUUUGAUUUCUUGGAAUGCAAUGAUAUCUGGGUACACUUUCAAUGGCAAGACCGAGUCGGCAGUGAGUCUCGUUAGGGAAUUGCUCAUAUCUGGGGAGAAAGCUAAUUCUAGCACAAUUGUAGGUUUGAUCCCCGUGUUCUCUCCCAUUGGUCAUCUUGAUCUUACUCGUUCCAUUCAUGGACUUGCUAUAAAAUCUGGUGUCGAUUUAAAUGCUUCUGUUUCUACUGCCCUCACAACUGUUUAUAAUAGAUUGAAUGAAGUUGAAUCUGCAAAGCAACUUUUUGAUGAGACUCCAGAGAAAAGCCUGGCAUCUUGGAAUGCCAUGAUAUCUGGUUAUGCUCAAAACGGGCUGACAGAGAUGGCAAUUUCUCUUUUCCAACAAAUGCAGAUGUUGAAUGUCCACCCAAAUCCUGUUACUGUUACAAGCAUUCUUUCAGCUUGUGCUCAACUUGGAGCUCUCUCCCUCGGGAAAUGGGUCCAUGAGUUAAUAAUUAGGGAGAAUUUUGAGUUUAAUGUUUAUGUAUCAACAGCUCUGAUUGAUAUGUAUGCUAAAUGUGGGAGAAUCAGAGAAGCACAAUUUAUAUUCAACAAUAUGCAGGAAAAGAAUGUUGUUACUUGGAACACUAUGAUUGCUGCAUUUGGACUCCAUGGGCAGGGAAAUGAAGCACUAAGGCUCUUCUCUGAGAUGUUGAAUGCUGGGGUAUCCCCUACUGGAGUUACAUUCCUUUCAGUUUUGCAUGCUUGCAGUCAUGCUGGAUUGGUGAGUGAAGGAGAUAUGAUCUUUAAAUCAAUGAUCCAUGAUCAUGGAGUUGAGCCAGGACAGGAGCAUUAUGCCUGCAUGGUUGACCUUCUAGGUCGUGCUGGGCAGUUGGACAAGGCUUUAGAGUUUAUAAAGACAAUGUCUGUUGAGCCAGGUCCUGGAGUGUGGGGUGCACUGCUUGGCGGUUGCAUGAUACACAAGGAAACAGACCUAGCUCGCAUGGCUUCUGAUAAGUUGUUUGAAUUGGACCCAGACAAUGUUGGGUACUAUGUUCUUCUCUCUAAUAUAUACUCGGCUGAGAGGAACUAUCCAGAGGCUGCUGUAGUUCGUCGGGUAGCUAAGAAGCGGAAGCUGACAAAGACACCUGGGUGCACCCUCAUUGAGGUUGGCGAGACUAUACAUGUCUUUACAGCUGGUGAUGUGUUCCAUCCACAAUCAGAGGCAAUCUAUGCGAUGUUAGAGAAGUUAACAGGAAAAAUGAGGGAGGCUGGAUUUAGAACUGAGACUGAUAUGGCAUUACAUGAUGUUGAGGAGGAAGAGAGGGAGCAGAUGGUGAAGGUUCAUAGUGAGAAAUUGGCUAUUGCUUUUGGACUCAUUAGUUCUGAACCAGGGACUGAGAUCAGGAUUAUCAAGAACCUGAGGGUUUUUCACUUCAAAACCGGUACUGCAAGCUAUUAUUUAGGUUUGGUGAGCUGUUCAUGCGUUACGGAACAAGUUUGAGGGUUUCUGUGAAUAACUUGUGGAAGGUUUCAGUAAGGCUGUGCAAAGUCUUUUCCAAAAGUCCAAGGUUAGUUGUUGGACAGAGAUUCUCUGGUUAGGAGAAUUGAGGUGUCAUAGGCAAUUUAGGUUUUGGGGAGGGCUACUCCGGUUUCUUGAUUUCAGAUUUAAUGUCAAUUGAAGUUAGGCUUCUCUUCAUCAUUUCUUACCCAUUAGCGGGUAACUCUCUGACCUAUCAAAAAGCUAGGCUUCUCUUUUAUGGAAUCUCAACCACUAUCCAAGUUUGGCCACAUGAAAGUGAAUUGUUCUAUCUUUAGAUUGAUUUUAUCUUCAUUAUCUUUUUCAAGAGUUUUUUUUUUUCCUUGAAACAAAAUUUUAUGUGAGAAAUAUUUAUUUAUUAAAUGAUAUUCACUUCUAGCAUUCUUUGACGAUGCAAAUAGGAAGUUACACCUAAGGCGCUUACUGAGCGUCUCAAGUAAUAUAAACUGAUUAGUU